GAAUUCGCCCUUAGUUGGAUCCUUGCGCAGGACCAACGCUGGCGGCGUGCUUAACACGUGCGAGUCGAACGAGGGUUAUUAGGUAGCUUGCUGCUGGGUAACCCGAGUGGCGGACGGGUGAGUAACACGUGAAUAAUCUGUCCUAUACAGGGGGAUAACACAUCCAAAGAUGUGCUAAUACCGCGUAGGACCACGGGAUCGCGUGGUUCUGAGGUGAAAGACUAAAGUCAGUAUAGGGUGAGUUCGCGUCUGAUUAGAUAGUUGGUGAGGUAACGGCCCACCAAGUCAACGAUCAGUAGCCGACCUGAGAGGGUGAUCGGCCACAUUGGGACUGAAACACUGCCCAGACUCCUACAGGAGGCAGCUGUGGGGAAUAUUGGGCAAUGGGCGAAGAGCCUGACCCACUAACGCCGCGUGAAGGAAGAAGGUUUUCCGGAUUGUAAACUUUCUGUCCUAUGUGAAGAGCGAGAGACGGUAGCAUAGGAGGAAGCCCCGUCUAAUUACUUGCCAGCAGCCGCGGUAAUACGUAGGGGGCGAGCAUUGUCCUGAAUGAUUGGGCGUAAAGGGCGGGUAGGCGGCCUGUUAAGUAUGGAGUGAAAGUCCUGUUUUCAUGAUGCGAAUUCCUUUGGAUACUGAUGGGCUUGAGUGCAGGAGAGGUUAUCGGAAUUCCCGGUGUAGCGGUGAAAUGAGUAGAUAUCAGGAAGAACACCGGUGGCGAAGGCGGCUUACUGGACGAUAACUGACGUUGAGGCUGGUAAGCGUGGGGAGCAAACAGGAUUAGAUACCCUGGUAGUCCUCCCCGUAAACGAUG
rnacentral:rRNA from 1 species